GAGGAUCACGUGAGAAACGUGCCCCAGACUCUGGGAUAACAAUUGGAAACGAUUGCUAAUACCGGAUGACGUCGGAGAAUCGCAUGAUUCACUGACGAAAGAUAUUUCGGUUUGGGAGCGUCUCGCGGCCUAUCAGCUUGUUGGUGGGGUAAUGGCCUACCAAGGCAACGACGGGUAGCUGGUCUGAGAGGAUGAUCAGCCACACUGGGACUGAGACACGGCCCAGACUCCUACGGGAGGCAGCAGUGGGGAAUCUUGCGCAAUGGGCGAAAGCCUGACGCAGCAACGCCGCGUGCGGGAUGAAGGCCUUCGGGCUGUAAACCGCUUUCAGCAGGAACGAAAAUGACGGUACCUGCAGAAGAAGGAGCGGCCAACUACGUGCCAGCAGCCGCGGUGACACGUAGGCUCCAAGCGUUGUCCGGAUUUAUUGGGCGUAAAGAGCUCGUAGGCGGUUGAGUAAGUCGGGUGUGAAAACUCUGGGCUUAACCCGGAGACGCCAUCCGAUACUGCUCUGACUAGAGUUCAGGAGGGGAGUGGGGAAUUCCUAGUGUAGCGGUGAAAUGCGCAGAUAUUAGGAGGAACACCGGUGGCGAAGGCGCCACUCUGGACUGAAACUGACGCUGAGGAGCGAAAGCAUGGGUAGCAAACAGGAUUAGAUACCCUGGUAGUCCAUGCCGUAA
rnacentral:rRNA from 1 species